rnacentral:rRNA from 1 species
AACGAACGCUGGCGGCAGGCUUAACACAUGCAAGUCGAACGCCCCGCAAGGGGAGUGGCAGACGGGUGAGAAACGCGUGGGAACCUACCCCUCGGUACGGAAUAACUCGGGGAAACUCAUGCUAAUACCGUAUAUUCCGGUAACGGGAAAGAUUUAUCGCCGAAAGACGGUCCCGCGUUAGAUUAGCUAGUUGGUGGGGUAAUGGCCUACCAAGGCGACGAUCUAUAGCUGGUCUGAGAGGAUGAUCAGCCACACUGGGACUGAGACACGGCCCAGACUCCUACGGGAGGCAGCAGUGGGGAAUCUUGGACAAUGGGGGAAACCCUGAUCCAGCCAUGCCGCGUGAGUGAUGACGGCCUUAGGGUUGUAAAGCUCUUUCACGCAUGACGAUGAUGACGGUAAUGCGAGAAGAAGCCCCGGCUAACUUCGUGCCAGCCGCCGCGGUAA